GUACCCUUGAGAAAAAAGGCCUUGCAUCAAAACAAGGUUCUGUAGCUGAACAUGAAGAAGAUUCUUCAGAUAAAAAAAGAAAAACUAAUAAACAGAAAUGGGUACCACUAGAGAUAGACUUAGCAAAAGGUAAUCCAAGAGAAAAUUCUCCAAAAAAAGGGGAAAGACACAAUUCAGAUGUGCAUAUGUCGGAUAAUGAGCACCUCUGUUCAUAUGCAAAAGAUAGUGACAGUGCACUACCUAAAAAAAACUUGCCAAGAGAAGGCAAAAGUCGUAGUAGGGGAACAAAAGUGUUGCAUUAUAAUAGAUCAAAUGCUAGAGCAAAUAGUGAAUCAAAAUAUUCUAGUAAAAGGAAUGAAAACUUAGAGCACACACAAUAU